rnacentral:rRNA from 1 species
GAGAUGGCCCAGAUCGUUUACCGUGAAAAAAUUAGAGUGUUCAAAGCAGGCAGAUCCAAUUUUCUGCCACCGAAUACAUUAGCAUGGGAUAAUGGAAUAGGACCCUGUCCUCCUAUUUUCAGUUGGUUUUGGCAGCGCGAGGACUAGGGUAAUGAUUAAUAGGGAUAGUUGGGGGCAUUAAUAUUUAAUUGUCAGAGGUGAAAUUCUUGGAUUUAUGAAAGAUUAACUUCUGCGAAAGCAUCUGCCAAGGAUGUUUUCAUUAAUCAAGAACGAAAGUUAGGGGAUCGAAGACGAUCAGAUACCGUCGUAGUCUUAACCAUAAACGAUGCCGACCAGCGAUUAGGAGACGUUGAAUACAAAACACCACCAUCGGUYGCGGUCGUCCUYGGCGWMUYGGUUCSGCMGCRCGCGUGAGAUACUMCACAUCGUACCCCUUC